UGAAUGCCUGGUAGGCUGGUACAGAGAGGAAAGAUGGAAGGUUUCAACAUCAACAAAUGGUUUUUACCCCAGCUUCGAUAUGCACCACUUACACCUCCUUUUGCCGCCUUUCCUUCCAGUUCUCUGCUGCCAAUGACUGGAACGAAUUGCAAAAAUCGCUGAAGUUGGAGACUUAUAUUUCCUUCACUAACUUCAAACAUCAGCUAUCUGAGCAGCUAACCGUUCGCUGAAGCUGUACACAGCCCAUCUUAAUUCCCCCAUGCUCCACCCAUGGCCCUCUGAAGAACUAAACAGACCUGUGCCCUCUGGAGAUCGGAAAAGCCAUUAACCCCUUUGAAGAACUGAACAGUCUGUGCCCAUCUGAAGAACUGUGAAGUCUGUGCCCCUCUGAAGAACUGAAUCCCCUGAUUAAUCCCCAUUUCCCAUAUGCUCUUUCAUCCACUGGUACAUUGAAUGUUUCCUGUCCAAGAACUUCAAAUCCUGUCCUGCCCUUAGUGGAGGAUUUGGGCUCUUCUCCAACACCAUCCAUCCAUCCAUCCAUGAUGAACCUUUUUCUGCACUGAAGCCUCUGAACACCUCAACCCUGUCCUGCACUGAAGUAAAGCCUUUGAACAGCCUUUGAAUUUGACUUAAAUGUCUUUAUUAAACAUUUUAGGUUCAAAUAA